UGGCUCAGGACGAACGCUGGCGGCGUGCUUAACACAUGCAAGUCGAACGCUGAAGCUUGGUGCUUGCACUGGGUGGAUGAGUGGCGAACGGGUGAGUAAUACGUGAGUAACCUGCCCUUGACUCUGGGAUAAGCCUGGGAAACUGGGUCUAAUACUGGAUAUGACAUGUCACCGCAUGGUGGUGUGUGGAAAGGGUUUUACUGGUUUUGGAUGGGCUCACGGCCUAUCAGCUUGUUGGUGGGGUAAUGGCUCACCAAGGCGACGACGGGUAGCCGGCCUGAGAGGGUGACCGGCCACACUGGGACUGAGACACGGCCCAGACUCCUACGGGAGGCAGCAGUGGGGAAUAUUGCACAAUGGGCGGAAGCCUGAUGCAGCGACGCCGCGUGAGGGAUGACGGCCUUCGGGUUGUAAACCUCUUUCAGCACGGAAGAAGCGAAAGUGACGGUAC
rnacentral:rRNA from 1 species